UACGGAAGGCAGCAGUGGGGAAUAUUGCACAAUGGGCGCAAGCCUGAUGCAGCCAUGCCGCGUGUAUGAAGAAGGCCUUCGGGUUGUAAAGUACUUUCAGUCGUGAGGAAGGUGUUAAGGUUAAUAACCUUAGCAAUUGACGUUAGCGACAGAAGAAGCACCGGCUAACUCCGUGCCAGCAGCCGCGGUAAUACGGAGGGUGCGAGCGUUAAUCGGAAUUACUGGGCGUAAAGGGCACGCAGGCGGUUAAUUAAAGUUGGAUGUGAAAUCCCCGGGCUUAACCUGGGAAUGGCAUUCAAGACUGGUUAGCUAGAGUCUUGUAGAGGGGGUAGAAUUCCAUGUGUAGCGGUGAAAUGCGUAGAGAUGUGGAGGAAUACCGGUGGCGAAGGCGGCCCCUGGACAAAAGACUGACGCUCAUGUGCGAAAGCGUGGGGAGCAAAACAGGGAUUAGAUACC
rnacentral:rRNA from 1 species